AACGCACAUUGCGCCUCUCGGUAUUCCGGGAGGCACGCCUGUUCGAGCGCCAUUACACACUCCAAGCUAUGCUUGAUGUUGGGCGAUGCGGCUACAUCUACCCCCCCCCCUAAAAAGGGGGGGUUACGAAGCUGCACGUCUGGAACGCGUGGGCGCCCGCCGCCGGACCACGAGCGUAGCACGAUUUGACUUCAGUCAUUUUUUCGCUUUGUGGGUUUCCGACGGGAGGGUAGUCAAACUAAAACUUUUUACAAGAGUUUGGCCUCGGAUCAGGCGGGGAUACCCGCUGAACUUAA
rnacentral:misc_RNA from 1 species